GUUGUAUGGUUAAGUGACUAAGCGUACACGGUGGAUGCCUUGGCAGUCAGAGGCGAUGAAAGACGUAGUAACUUGCGAUAAGCCCAGAUUAGGUAGUAACAACCAUUUGAGUCUGGGAUUUCUGAAUGGGGAAACCCACUUACAUAAGUAAGUAUCAUUAACUGAAUACAUAGGUUAAUGAGGCGAACCGGGGGAACUGAAACAUCUAAGUACCCCGAGGAAAAGAAAUCAACCGAGAUUCCGAAAGUAGCGGCGAGCGAAAUUGGACUAGCCCUUAAGCUUUACACGCGUUAGACGAACGGUCUGGAAAGUCCGACGAUACAGGGUGAUAGUCCCGUAGUUGACGAUGUGUGUUCAGUGAAAUCGAGUAGGGCGGGACACGUGAUAUCCUGUCUGAAUAUGGGGGGACCAUCCUCCAAGGCUAAAUACUACUGACUGACCGAUAGUGAACCAGUACCGUGAGGGAAAGGCGAAAAGAACCCCUGUGAGGGGAGUGAAAUAGAACCUGAAACCGUGUACGUACAAGCAGUAGGAGCAGGCUUUGUCCUGUGACUGCGUACCUUUUGUAUAAUGGGUCAGCGACUUAUAUUCAG
rnacentral:rRNA from 1 species